AGCCACUGAAGGAAGAAGAAUUGCUACUUGAUGCCCUUAUUACUAAUUGAUGAUUAUCUUUUGAAAUUAUGAUGUUCUUUCAAAACCACCACCAACCUGCAUAUGCAACCACUCCGGUGAUGUACCACGGCUGUAAUCCCUUGUGGCUUGUGAACCAAAUGCCAUGCCAGUAGUAUCAUAUGUUUGUUGGCCAAAGUCUUUAGAAGGAAAAGCUCCAAUUACAGGAUUCAUUCUUGAAUUUACUGCUUCAAGCUUCAUAGAUAGGAACUCAACCUGACGUUG
rnacentral:misc_RNA from 1 species